AUUGAUACCGUAUUGUUAUAAUGUUUAAAGUUAGUAUUGUAUUCAACAAAUUGGAUAUUAAAUUAUUACUAUUUAAAAAAAAAAAAAAAUUAGGCAAGUUAUAGAUAUAUUAUAAAUAAUAUUUAGUGUUAUAAGGUUAUGUGUUUACCUACUGUUUAUAUAUAAUAGAAUAAAAAAACUGAAAUAAUAACAAUGAGUACUUACAUUUUUGUUUGCGUUGAGAUGAUUAAAAAAAAAAUGUUUGUUUCUGUUAUAAUCCACUGUGUCCACUUGUAUUUACGAUGUUUUUUUAAAAAAAAUUAAUAAUAUAGUACUAAAUGUCCAUCUCUUAAAAAAUUUAUAAUCAAUUGUAUGAUAAAUUGUAUGAUGGUCAGUGGUCACGAUCGUGAAAAUUCGCACAAAAUAUAUUCAUACACUUCUCAAAAUAAUAUUUUCAAUUCUUUAAGAACUAUGUUAUUAAAAAUAUAUUUUAUUGUGUUACGUAAACGUACAUCCACGAAUGAAUUAAAUAUAUUAAAUGGGUAAUUAAAUAAAACCUUGUAUUCGAUAUUAUAAUCAUGUUAAUAGUAUGCGUAUUAAUUUUUAAAAAAAAAUCGUCCUACACUUAUCAAAAUAAUAUUAUCAAUUUUUUCAGAACUAUGUUAUUAAAAUAUAUUAUACCUACUGUUUUACGAAAAUGUAUUUCCGUGAAUAAACUAAAUACAUCGAAUGAUAAAAAAUAAAACACUUAUAAUCGUUAUUAUAAUCGGUUAAUAAACUUCAGACUUGGAAUAAGAGGGACAAGAAAGUAUGUAUAUUAUAAUAGGAAGCCUUUUGAUGUAUCAUAUUCAGUAUACUUCAACAAGUCUACAGCAACACUUUUACGUUUUUAUACACACAUAAAUUUCUAUGUUUAUUAAAUUGAAAUAUUUCUAAAAAAUAAAAUAAUGUCGAACUAUUCAGUUAUGAGUGAUGAAUAAUCUGCAGUUUAAAUCGAUGGAAAAAAAUGGCUUGAGGGGGAUGUACCCCCUUAAACUUUAAAAAUCUCCGCAGUGAAAAGUGCGCAGAACAUACAAAUACAUACCUACUACUGUCGCGUAUCGCAUCUUAUCAAUUAUCUACCUUUAAUGAGGCACUACACUUAGGUAUACUGUUUCACCAAUUAUUAUUUUUUAAGAACUAAGUUAUAAAAAUGAAAACGAUGAAAAAUUCUUCAGCAAAGAGUGCUCUUUCGUCUAAUUUCAUAAACUCCCCAGAUCACGAGGAUAAGAAAAACAAAAUGCAAUUAAAUUGUAAAAUUCAUAAACCUUAAGAGAAAACACGAUUCUUAACACGUUGAGUGCCAAAGUAUUUAUGAUGUGUAGUAAAUCAAAAAGACAGAGGUUGCGCAAUACAUAUAUACAUUUUAUAUUAGGUAUUAAUUUUUAAAUUACAAUUAUUGUAAUAAUCUUCUUUUUGUUUACGUAAGAUUUACCAUUUAUAUAUAUUGCGCACACAAUUCGAAUUACUACCCUCUCAUAUGUAUAUCUACACACGCGUACAGAUACAUGCAUUACAAGGAAUUCUAUUAUAUAGUGAAUUAUCUUACCUUAGCUUGACUGUAGACUUGACAGCAAUUGAAUGCAGCCAGUGUAGAAAAAGUGGAUAGGUGUGAUGUUAACUCACUCAAAUAUAAUAUCAAUUAAAAUAAAACACAAGUGAUAUAAUAUUUACAUUGAAUUAGGUAAUAGGUUUAUUGUUUUUAAAUUAAGACACGAAUAAGCAUUUAUUUUACAUUUACAUGAAUUGGCUCUCGACGUAUGUCCAUCACCAAAGGCGCACGUAGGGAGAGUGUCGUUGUGUCCCAGUGCCCGAUGGUCAAUGGGUGUCUUCUGAGCCGAUGGGGUAAUAAAUUUUGAUAAUGGUCAAAGAACAUAACAAUGUCUGGCCACAGAUGUCUACUAUCGUGUGAACAUGGGUGUGUUACAAUAAGCGAGUUUCCGCGCCAAAAUUGAACCGUGACGCGGAAGGUUGACUACGUGUCGAACUGUCGUCAUCGGUUCCUCGAGCCCGACAAAAUCGAUAGCGAAAAACGAGCACUAUGUAUUAGUAUUUUCGGAUUACUCAGAUUAUUAUGCUAGUAAUCUACAGUACCAAAUUAUAAUAAUUUUAUCAUCAAGAAAUAGGUACCUAUCAAAAUAAAUAUGUACUUAAUUAACGCUAUGCAAAAUGUAAAUACAGAAUGUCUGCUAACAGAAAUAGGUACUAACUUAUUGUUAUUGUUAUUACACAUUCAAGAAAAAUAUACCUUAACAUUAUUAAAAUAAACUAAUAUUAUUUUUGUCAGCCAAUUAGUGACAACACAAAUUAUAUACCUAAUAUUAUUAUUUAUUAUGUUAUUGUAAAUUAGACCGGUUCUUGUUCGACACCGCCGUCGUCGUCAUUCGACGAAAAAUAAUUAUUAAUACCCACUAAAAAUAUCUACGCAAAUUCCAAAUAUACCGAUGAAAUCACGAGAUCCUACUGAAUAACUACAUAUAAAAACCAAAACUGUGCGUCUAUAACCGAUGAAGUAAUAUUCUCAUAAAGAUACACGUAACAUUUGACAU